rnacentral:rRNA from 1 species
UACGUAGGGGGCAAGCGUUGUCCGGAUUUAUUGGGCGUAAAGAGCGUGUAGGCGGCUAGGUAGGUCCGUUGUGAAAACUCGAGGCUCAACCUCGAGACGUCGAUGGAAACCAUCUAGCUAGAGUCCGGAAGAGGAGAGUGGAAUUCCUGGUGUAGCGGUGAAAUGCGCAGAUAUCAGGAGGAACACCAAUGGCGAAGGCAGCUCGCUGGGACGUGACUGACGCUGAGACGCGAAAGCGUGGGGAGCAAACAGG